UAGCCAACAGACAAGUAGGGUUUGUGGAAGGGGUGUGGAGAAAAACAUUAAGAGAAUUUUAAGCAAAAGAACUGGAAUGUGAUUAUGAGUCAUGUUGGGUGGAGUAGAUGGCUUCAUUAUUCAUACUUGCUACAAUAAAUGUGGGAACAUCACCAUUCCUCCUUAUCUGGACUGAGGUUCUGCAUGUUUACACAAGCCAGAAGAUAAUAUCAAAGUCAUGGAGGGUACAGAUGCUUCGGAAGGGAUGUAUCUAUUCUGGCGUAUCACCUUCUAAAGGACCACAUAAUUCAACUCCAGAUCUGCCUUUUGACUCUCAAAGAACAGUUGUAAUCUCAUUGCUGCCUGAGCACACUCACAACAAUUGCAACUUGGGGCCAUUGGGAAAACUCCUCCACACAGAGCAUAGUUGCUCCCUCUCUGUCCUCAGAAGACAUAGUGACUCCAACAGAUGACCUUUGGAGGAUGAGCUCUGCAUUCCAGCCAAUGAGAGUCUUAUCCUACCCUCCACUUUUAUCCUAUGAAGAAACUGAAUCUGAGAGGCAGUCACACACCUAGGAAGUAUCUGAGGAAUUGAACUCAUGUCUUUCUGAAUCCAAGUUCAGCAUCCUUUUUACCACACCAUCUACUCACAUCGCUUCAAGACUUCAGUUUCCUUCCCUGUAGAAAAAUAGUGCUGAACUAGAUGACAUCUAAGGCGCAGGCUCUAAAAUCUCUGUGUAUAUGUGUUUAGCUCUGUGUGUGUAUUUGUGUGUGUGUGUGUGUGUCUUUAACCAUGUGCACAGAGACUGAAUCAGAAAGAUCUGAGUAAAAUCUGGUUUCCUUUACUUA